ACACGUCACUGUUUGUAAUCUCUCUCCUCUUCUGGGAACGCGCUCGCUGAAAUAUUCUCGGGAAAAUAAUAAAGGUGGUUUCCAGAUUCUCGGAUAAUCGGCGACGAGUAGAUUUUAAACGAUUUCGCUGACUCGGUUGAUUCCUAGCUUCACGGUUUUGAUUCCGAGGAUUUAGACCAAAAGUUUUCAAAGGUUAUAUAGAGUCUGCUACGAUAAAAGUUAAAGAGGCUUGUUCAUCAUCCAUUACAAGAGAGCAGAGGUUGUUGGCUUGAACCUUUCUUUCUUCUUUUUUUCCUUUCUAAAGGUUAUUUGAUAAAAUUAGAGACUUGUUCAUCAUCCAUACAAGAGAGGAGAAGUUAACAUUAACGUUUUUUCUUUCUUUAAAGGUUCUUUGCGGUAAUGCGAAUGAAAGGCUAACCUAAAGGUGGUUUGGGAUUGGUUUAAGUUCAGUAUGAAUCCUUGAGAGAUAUUGCUUUUGCAAAGAUGUGAAUUUACAAAAACCUUUGGUUUAGAGUUCCUGAAUCCGUGCAGGGAACUUGGUCUCUUUAAAGUAUACACGGAACAAGAUUAUAAAGGUUGAGUUUCCAGCUCUUGAGGAUUUAGAAUAGAAGCUGUGUAGUUGGUAUGUCAUUUGCUAGUGUAGCUCUAUGUCCAGCCCUGGAAGAAGUUGUCAACUUUCCAGGUUUUGUCGGACGGUUCGGUUUGAGCUUAGACGACCCAAUCCUGAUAUUCCUGAACAUUGCCGAGUCUCUGAACCCGAUGCGGGUCAUGGAGUCGGAUUCGUUAGCGUCCGUGAAACUAAGGUUUCAGAGUAUCAAGGGAUUUUUUGUGAAGAAGCAGAAGGUGCUCUAUGAUGGUCGAGAGCUAGCUCGAGAUUACGUUCACCAUGAACUCACAUUAGAUGGUGAAAACGGAGAGAAUGUGAUUCACUUGCUAAUUAAAAAUUCAUCUAAAGUCAUCGCAAAGCCUAAAGAUUUCUUUGUGGAGCCUGUUGUCGUUAACCAUGAGAUUGAACUGCCUUCACU